rnacentral:rRNA from 1 species
GUUGACCUCGGAUCAGGUAGGGAUACCCGCUGAACUUAAGCAUUUAAAGAGGAAAGAGAGAAAC